CCCGCCCAAUUAUUCACCAUUAUUCCGAAAAUCUGAUCAAUAGCUUCUUCCUCGUCUCGCCUUGUGCUCUUGGGCGUUCACUUCCACCUGAACGCAUGGGACCAAUCUUCUCGGAAAGAUAGGAUCCACGUAUGGGACAGAUCUCCAUUUAGAAACCAUAUUUCAUCCAUUGAGAGCGUUAGACCGUCCUCCUUUUCGCAAAGUUGAUAAAUAAUCUUUAUUUAAAUAAAUUACCAGUCCUGGCGAGCGCUUGGCGUCGACCAUCCGCUGGCUGCUUCGUUUUUCGAUGGCCGCUGCCUUCACCACCUCACGGCCGCCAUAGGAAUCGACGGCGCUCCCCCACCCAAUCGAGAGAGAGAGAGAGAGAGAGAAGAUUAGAC
rnacentral:lncRNA from 1 species